UGGAUUCACCCUUCGGUAAUUCCAGCUCCAAUACCGUAUACUAAUGUAUGGUGCGGUUAAAAAGCUCGUAUCCUAGAUUUCAUGUAGAGAAGAAUAUUUGGCCCUUUGGGUUACAAAAAAACCAUCUCUGCAUUCUUUUGCUGUGACGGCGUUCUCUCACUUCAUUGCGCGAAACGAAUGUUCGGCAUCUUUUACUUUGAGAAAAUUAAAGUGCUCAGAGCAGACAUUUUUGUCUUGAAUAUUACUCAUGGAAUAAUAAUAUAUGACUUCAGUCUUCCUUUGCUGUGGUUUGGAGGCUGGAGUAAUGAUUGAUAGGGACAGUUGGGGUCAUUACAACUCCUUACCGAGAGGUGAAAUUCUUAUACCUUACGAGGACUAACUACUGCGAAAGCAUUUGACAAGGAUGUUCCCGUUGAUCAAAAACGAAAGUUGAGGGAUCGAAGACGAUCAGAUACCGUCGUAGUCUCAACCAUAAACUAUGCCAGCUAGGGAUUGGGAGAGGCCUAAAUUUUCAAAGACUCUCUCAGCACCUUAUGAGAAAUCAAAGCAUUUGGGUUCCGGGGGGAGUAUGGUCGCAAGGCUGAAACUUAAAGGAAUUGACGGGAGGGCACCACCAGGAGUGGAGCCUGUGGCUUAAUUUGAUUCAACACGGGAAAACUUACCAGGUCCGGACAUAGUAAGGAUUGACAGAUUGAAGCUCUUUCUUGAUUCUAUGGGUGGUGGUGCAUGGCCGUUCUUAGUUGGUGGAGUGAUUUGUCUGGUUAAUUCCGUUAACGAACGAGACCUUAACCUGCUAAAUAGUUUCCUGAACCUCGGUUCAUCGGUUUACUUCUUAGAGGGACUUCGUGUGUUUAACGCGAGGAAGUUUGAGGCAAUAACAGGUCUGUGAUGCCCUUAGAUGUCCUGGGCUGCACGCGCGCUACACUGAUGUGUCCAGUAAGCACCUAACCUCUUCCGAAGGGAACGGGUAACCUUAGCAAAGCACAUCGUGAUGGGGAUAGAUUAUUGCAAUUAUUAGUCUUGAACGAGGAAUUCCUAGUAAGCACAAGUCAUCAGCUUGUGUUGAUUACGUCCCUGCCCUUUGUACACACCGCCCGUCGCUCCUACCGAUUGAAUGUUCCGGUGAAUACUUCGGACUGCGAGGUUUGCAGUUUCUGCGUUCCUUGCGGAAAGUUGAAUAAACCUUAACAUUUAGAGGAAGGAGAAGUCGUAACAAGGUAGCCG
rnacentral:rRNA from 1 species